GAGUUUGAUCCUGGCUCAGGCUGAACGCUGGCAGUAUGGAUAAGGCAUGCAAGUCGAACGGUCCACCGUUUAUUUCUUCGGAAAUGUUUGGUGGAUAGUGGCAAAUGGGUUAGUAACACGUUGGAAAUCUACCCGAGAGUGGGGAAUAGCUCGCCGAAAGGCGGAUUAAUACCCCAUGGUCCCUGAUGUCGAGAGACAUCACGGUAAAGAUUUAUCGCUCUCGGAAGAUCCUGCGUCCUAUCAGCUUGUUGGUGAGGUAACGGCUCACCAAGGCGACGACGGGUAGGGGAUGUGAGAGCACGACCCCCAACACUGGAACUGCGACACGGUCCAGACACCUACGGGUGGCUGCAGUCGAGAAUCUUCGGCAAUGCACGGAAGUGUGACCGAGCGAUACUGCGUGCAGGAAGAAGGCCUUCGGGUUGUAAACUGCUGUCGUAUGGGAAGAACUUUGACGGUACCAUACAAGAAAGGGGCGCCUAACUCUGUGCCAGCAGGCGCGGUAAUACAGAGGCCCCAAGCGUUAGCCGGAAUUAUUGGGCGUAAAGGGUCCGCAGGCGGAGUAGAGCGUCUUCUGUGAAAUCCUAUCGGCUCAACCGAGAGGCUGCAGUGGAUACGACUACUCUUGAGGCAAGGAGAGGUAAGCGGAAUUCCUAGUGGAGCGGUGAAAUGCGUUGAUAUUAGGGAGAACACCAAUUGCGAAGGCAGCUUACUGGCCUUGUCCUGACGCUCAGGGACGACAGCGUGGGGAGUGAACGGGAUUAGAUACCCCGGUAAUCCAUGCCGUAAACGUUGCAAACUAGGCAUUGGGAGUAUCGACUCUCUCAGUGUCGAAGCUAACGCGUUAAGUUUGCCGCCUGGGUAGUACGGUCGCAAGACUAAAACUCAAAGGAAUAGACGGGGGCCCGCACAAGCGGUGGAGCGUGUGGUUUAAUUCGAUGCUAAACGAGAACCUUACCUAGGUUAGAAAUCCAACUGUAUCCCAGCAGAAACGUUGGGAGCUUCGAGAUCGUUGGACAGGUGCUGCAUGGUUGCCGUCAGCUCGUGUUGUGAAAUGUUCCCUUCAGUGGGGUAACGAGCGCAACCCUUGUCGUUAGUUGCCAUCAUUCAGUUGGGCACUCUAACGAGACUGCCGUGGUUAACACGGAGGAAGGUGGGGACGACGUCAAAUCAGCAUGGCCCUCUGACACCUAGGGCUACACACGCGCUACAAUGGAUAGGACAAUGAGACGCGACUUCGCGAGAAGAAGGAAUCUUUUAAACCUAUCCUCAGUUCGGAUUGGAGUCUGCAAUUCGACUCCAUGAAGCUGGAGUCGCUAGUAACCGUAAAUCAGCUCGUUACGGUGAAUACGUUCUCGGGCUUUGUACUCACCGCCCGUCAACUCAGAAGAGUUGACAGUACCCGAAG
rnacentral:rRNA from 1 species